UACGAGGGGGGCAAAUGUUGUUCGGAAUCACUGGGCGUAAAGGGCGCGUAGGCGGGCUUCUAAGUUAGGUGUUUAAUCCCAGGGCCCAACCCUGGUCGUGCACUUAAAACUGGGAGUCUUGAAUAGUGGAGAGGACGAUGGAAUUGGGGGUGUAGCGGUGGAAUGCGUAGAGAUCCCCAAGAACACCAGUUGCGAAGGCGGUCGUCUGGACACAUAUUGACGCUGAGGCUCGAAAGCAUGGGGAGCAAACAGG
rnacentral:rRNA from 1 species